CAUGCACCAGUGUGGUCCCUCGGCCUAGCCUGUGCCCUCUCGCAAUUCGGGACCCCUUGGAGGAUGUCAGAGAGCCAAUUUCAGCCUAAUCCCACAGGCUAGGCUGAGGGACUCCACUGGUGCACG
rnacentral:pre_miRNA from 1 species